CACAGGAGGCCCUGCAGUGUGACAAGGGCCCCUUGGUUCUAUGGAGCCCACAGGGUCAGUUUUGCCAGUGGGCAGGGUCAGCACCAAAGACACAGACAGCAACUGAAGGAAUUGUCUCAUUUAUAUAAGCAGGAGUCAGAGGAAGAGAAUAUGUGUGACCUGCCUGGCUUUAACGUUGUGCCAGGAGCAAUGCCACGGGGAAGCUGGUCAGAGGAGUAUCUGAGAAGUGUGUGGUACAUCAGUGAUGUCCUACUACUGAUCUUUGCACAGAGAUGAAAAAGUAUCAGUUUGCAUGGCCUGAAUGUCUGGCUCUGGACAUUCUGCAUUGCACAAGGUGUGCUGAGCUCAUCUGGCUCUGAAAUAUCAUCUCUGCACCUUAGCCAGGAACAGCAUCAGAGUUCUGAACAGAUUCAUCAAAAUCAGUCAAAAGCCAGAAGCAAACCUUGGAAAUACACAUCAGUGGCAGGUUUUUCUGUUUGGAAGGAAGCUUGGCACAAUGUCCAUUGUCUUCUCCAUUCGUGAAAGACCAAGCGGAGUCUGGGCAGGCUGAUAUGCAGAGCAAAACCUGAAAAUAUACUAGUGAUCCUGAGCCUGGGCGAUGCAGCUAAACCCAGCCAAAAGCAAUUUCUGGAAAGCUGAUCCUGGUUUACAUUGUCUUGAGUUUGGCUUUGCCAACUUCACCAGUCAUUUAUGAAAAAGCAAACAAAACUCAAACCAAAUCAGACAAAAACCCAGUCAAUCAAACAAACAAACCCAUGCAGCAAACCAAUCAAACAAAUAGAUAAAAAACGCCAAAUAAAACCAAGGGAAAUGAGGAGUUAGUGUUAGUUGUGAGGAUAGCACAGCAGGCAAAUGGCUGCUUGCCACAGGAUCACCAUCAAAAGCCACAUAGAACAGCUGCUCCAAAAUAUACCCAACAGGAGAAAAAGAAAAAGUGAUCCAUGGCAACUUUGGGGGCAGAUCCACAUUCAGGUGAAGGAUGAGCACGCAGUGGUACAGAUCCAGCCUUGCCCACCCUCCAGGCUGCUGUUUGCUCCUGAUGAAAGAUUCUUGCAGGACUCUGGCCCCUCUCAGUGCAGUGUCAGUCAUUCCCAGAGCUCUCAGCUGAGCCACUGGCAUUUCCAGAGUGACAUCCAAUGGGAUACCCUUUUCGGUUUGUCUCCUAAUGCCAUAGGGGUCCUAAACAGUAUAUGCCAUCCCAUUUUUGUUCCGUUGAUAUUGACUGCUUGGUUUUAUUUUGUCAGCAGUUCUAUUCAUUAUGAAUUGGAAUAUGAUGAAGAAACUAAGGAAGUUAGCACCUAUAAUUAGUGCACAUAGCUUAACUGAUGCGGCAGCUCAUUUAAUGCUUGCUAGGAAAGAACUAGAAAGAUUUAAUGAACAAAAUUGGUAAAAAAAGAAAUGGGGGAUUUGUAAUAAGUAGUAAUACAUUUGUUCAUUAAUUAAAUCAAUAGCUAAAUAACUAUACAAUAUAAAACAAUAGUUAAAUAGCCAAAAAAACGUCUUGUGCAGAUACAUAUGGUUGCUGGUUUACUAUAGUGCUUUGGGAAUUUCAUUGUAAAGUUAUGCCUUGUGAAAGGAAAGUAAUGAGAAGCAGCUGUAAUAACAAUCCUUAAACUUGCUAGAAUUGCUUAGCUUGCAGAAAGUGUAUAGUACUAGUAAGAAUUGCUUAGCUUGCAGAAAAGUGUAUAGUGUUCUGUAUAGAUAUGCCUUAUAAGGCAUAAGUUCACUCAGCGUUCACAAAGAGGAAGACUAAGGGGGACUAAGCCUUCAUCCCACGACCACCAGAAGGCAGAAAAAGACCCCCUAGCAACUGAAUGAGCAAGUGCAGAAGACAGAUCACGUCAUCCCUAAACCCGGAGAAGAAGGCAAUAAAAGGUGGACUCAGGGGAUAGGAAUUUUGUGAGCCAAAGUGGAGCGGAGACUCCGGGCCGCCCAGCGCUGUCCUUGCUUAUUCUUGCUUGCAAAAAUAAUAAUUAUUUGAUCCUUAAAUUCAGUGGACUUGUUUAUCACACUGCCCAGACCCUAAACUGCCCCAAAUGUGCCCCAGAAAUGUCUCCAGGGACCCCAGAGUGGCCCCUUUUACCCUGUGCGUGAAAAUAAUAAAAAAAU